rfam:Triticum aestivum genome assembly, contig: Triticum_aestivum_CS42_TGACv1_scaffold_527019_6DL
CUCAUACUCCCUCCGUCCGGAAAUACAUGUCGGAGAAAUGCAUAAAAAUGGAUGUAUCUAGAACUAAAAUACGUCUACAUACAUCCAUUCCUCCGACAAGUAUUUCCGGACGGAGGGAGUACUAU